rnacentral:rRNA from 1 species
UGGGGAAUAUUGGACAAUGGGCGCAAGCCUGAUCCAGCCAUGCCGCGUGGGUGAUGAAGGCCUUAGGGUUGUAAAGCCCUUUCGGCGGGGAAGAUAAUGACGGUACCCGCAGAAGAAGCCCCGGCUAACUUCGUGCCAGCAGCCGCGGUAAUACGAAGGGGGCUAGCGUUGCUCGGAAUCACUGGGCGUAAAGCGCACGUAGGCGGAUUCUUAAGUCAGGGGUGAAAUCCCGGAGCUCAACUCCGGAACUGCCUUUGAUACUGAGAGUCUCGAGUUCGGGAGAGGUGAGUGGAACUGCGAGUGUAGAGGUGAAAUUCGUAGAUAUUCGCAAGAACACCAGUGGCGAAGGCGGCUCACUGGCCCGAUACUGACGCUGAGGUGCGAAAGCGUGGGGAGCAAACA